rnacentral:lncRNA from 1 species
GUAGUGUACCGAAGUCAACUCGAGAUUGUGCCAGAACCUCUGAAACACUUAGAGUCGACUCGCAAUCUUCCGGAGUCAACUCGAGCUUCAGACUUUGGUUCAAUUGAGUUCAAUCACUUAGCCAAAUUACUUUGAACCAAGGCUCGAUGAUCUUAAAGAUAAAUUCACAUAUAUUCGCCUGAAACAUUAGAUUGAAUUCAUUAGUACAACAUGAAAUAUACUGAAAUGCUUUGAGCUCAUCAAAAUCAA